rnacentral:tRNA from 1 species
AGGCGCGUAGCUCAGCUGGUAGAGCACAGGUCUCCAAAACCUGGGGUCGCAGGUUCGAUCCCUGCCGCGCCUGCCA